AUGGAGAGGGGAGAAGGAAGUGGACCGGUUGAUCCAGUUGAUAAGUUGCUAGAGAAGCUGCAUCUGCAUGAAGAAGAGGACGAGGGUUUCCUCUGGGAAGAGGUGGCUGAACCGCCUGCCCGUGUAAAGUGGCUAGCGAUCGCGAAGGUACACACCAUCAGAGGAUUCAGCCCCAGCGCUCUAUAUGCAGAUAUGCGAUCUUCUUGGAACCCAGCGAAGGAGGUGAUUUGGAGGCGGGUGGAUGACAACCUGUUCACCACGCAAUUUGGAUGCCUGGGGGAUUGG
rnacentral:rRNA from 1 species